UACGGAGGAUCCGAGCGUUAUCCGGAUUUAUUGGGUUUAAAGGGUGCGCAGGCGGGAGAUUAAGUCGGCGGUGAAAUUUUGCAGCUCAACUGUAAAAGUGCCUUCGAAACUGGUUUCCUUGAGUGUAGAUGAAGUAGGCGGAAUUUGUGGUGUAGCGGUGAAAUGCAUAGAUAUCACGAGGAACUCCGAUUGCGCAGGCAGCUUACUAAACCAUAACUGACGCUCAGGCACGAAGGCGUGGGGAUCAAACAGGAUUAGAUAUCCCUGUA
rnacentral:rRNA from 1 species